rnacentral:lncRNA from 1 species
CGCAAUGUAGGCUUUAAACAGUCUUUGUUUAGGGAGAGAUUUCUCCCAAUAAAUUUUAGGAUUUUUAAUUUUAUUUUUAAUAUGUAGGCCGUUGGCCUAACCAUAUCCAAUAAUAUAUUUUUAGUUUAAUUUUUCAUGUGUCGUCUAAUUUAUCGUCUUAUGGUUUGCAAACUAAAAGUUUCGGCAUGACGCCCUCUCGAUUUCGAACCCAACAAGUGGUAUUAGAGCCCACGGUUCAAUAAAUCGGUGGUCCAAUUGUUGAACAAAGUUGUAAUUAAUUUGAUGAUAAUGAAGAUAUAUGUCCAAAAACUACAUGUGGAGAUAAUUAUUAAUCAUAUUUUCAACAAUCCUGCUCCAAUAUUUUUAACCCAAAAAGGGCUUAUAUACUUUUAACUCAAAAGCUCCAUUUUUAAAUAUGUCAAACAGCAGUGAUAUUUGAAGAAUAUAUACGAAGAACGAAGAUCAUGCACAAGAAGAAGGAGGAUCAAGAAUAUUUUGAAGAAAAUCAAGCCAAAAAGGGGAGAUUUGUUAGUGUUUUUACCUUGAUUUUCUUACUAUAUUUAAGUUUUACUUUUUCUUAGAACGAAAAUAAAAGUUACCAUAAUUACUUUUACUUUUCCUGAAAGAAAAAAUAUAAUUCUUUUCCAUAUUUGGCUAAUCUCUUUCUUGGAGGAAAAGUUUUGGACAUCUAUAAAUAUAGAAGACCCCUUCUCAUACCAUAACACAAGAGCAUCCACAAUAUAGUAUUUAAAGAGUC